rnacentral:miRNA from 1 species
UGAACAGACAUAUUGAAGAGGC